AGAUUCAACUAGGAGCUCUUAUAUGAACAAAAUUGUCUGGUGGAAAAGGAAGGAGAAUGUCAAAUGGAAGUCUGGAUCUUUUUCUGAUUUGUACCAAAGCACAGGAAACUUUGCAUUUGAUCAUAACAAGCUUCCUGAUUGAGGCUGUUUGGCUCCUGGAAAGACACACACAAGUUACAGCUGGUGGAUGUCCAACGUGCCUGCACUGCCUUGGAGAAAACCCAGCAGAGCCUUGAAUGUCAAAACUAAAGCCUUGAGAGAAAUAGAUAUAUAAAUAUUCCAGCUGUCUCCUGACUUACUUCCUGGGCAUAAAUUCGUGAAGAAAAGAACAACACCUGUUUAAUUUCUUCUAACAGUGAUGAAUUUAUGUGGCAGGACAGGAUGUCUUAGUCCUGUGAUUCAGUGAUACUUUUGAGGACAUGCGGGAAUUAUCAGCUAAUAACCUCUGUGUCUCUGAAGUGAAAAGGCCUGAAAGAAAAUGAGGAAUCCUGAAAAUCUGAGUUCUAAAAGGAAGGUUAAACCAUCAGUACAAUACAAACAGCAUGGAAAUUACAAUGAAAAAAAAAAGUCCAUUUAACAUAUUUUUUUCCUCUGGAAUUUCCACAGACACUUAUUUGAAAGAAACCAGUUAUUUUUCAAACAAGAAGCAUGUAUAAGUGGUUUGGAAAUAUCAAGAUAACAUCCACGGGUAGUGCAGCCAGAGGUUCUCCCAGUGCUGGGUGGGUUAUUAUCUCCUUGAUGUACAAUGAUCAUCCAGUCAGGAGCAUUGCAACAUUUUAGGGGGCAUCGUCAGACCCAAACAGAACAUGUCACAGGAAUGGAAGAGAGGGAUUUGAGUUCAUGACAAAAAAUUGAACUGUGGUGAAGAAUUACAGGAAUUGGAUAAUUUUUGUGGUAAGUUGGUGAAUUGUCCAGUGGUUAGAACAAGAUUUAUGAGGGAGGAACUGAAAUAAAAAAGAAAGUAAAGGCAUGUUUUGCUCUAAUAUCUGUCUGUGAAAUCCUCUGAAAGUACAAGACUUCCCAGCAUGUCUCUGUCCUAAAGUCUUGGUGAUUCUGUUGCUCUGUAUAAUGAAAAUACCCAUUAUAUUAAUAGAGUGAAAGAGUGUGGAAUAAGAUGUAAGUGGGAGUAUCAGUGCAUUGAGAAUGCCAAAACUUGUAAGGAAUCACUCUAACUUAAUCUUAGGCUAUCUUUGUAGUUAGAAGGGGAUCAGUCAUGGCAUAAACACUGGGAGGGUUGGCUUCAUAACCUAAUAGUAAUCUGAAAGGUAUUGUCUGAUAAUAAAGCUCUGAAAAAUAAAUAUGCUUUCCCAAAAUGUUGCUAUGACUGUGUAUCUUUGGAAGGUCUGUGUUGUUAUUCUGAGUUCCUUUUCACAGCCUGAUUGGAAGCCACUUUUUAACUCUCUCCAGCAAAUUUUCCUCCUACUGCAGUCUCUUUAAAAGCCAAG